rnacentral:rRNA from 1 species
UACGUAGGGUGCAAGCGUUUGUCCGGAAUUAUUGGGCGUAAAGAGCUCGUAGGCGGUUUGUUGCGUCGGCUGUGAAAUCCCGAGGCUCAACCUCGGGUCUGCAGUCGAUACGAGCAAACUAGAGUGUUGCAGGGGGAGACUGGAAUUCCUGGUGUAGCGGUGAAAUGCGCAGAUAUCAGGAGGAACACCGGUGGCGAAGGCGGGGUCUCUGGGCAACAACUGACGCUGGAGGAGCGAAAGCCGUGGGGAGCGAACAGG